AGACCGAUAGCGAACAAGUAGAGUGAUCGAAAGAUGAAAAGCACUUUGAAAAGAGAGUUAAACAGCACGUGAAAUUGUUGAAAGGGAAGCGCUUGCAACCAGACUCGGCCUCGGGGUUCAGCCAGCAUUCGUGCUGGUGUACUUCCCCGGGGCCGGGCCAGCGUCGGUUUGGGCGGCCGGUCAAAGGCCCCAGGAAUGUAUCGUCCUCCGGGACGUCUUAUAGCCUGGGGUGCAAUGCGGCCAGCCUGGACCGAGGAACGCGCUUCGGCACGGACGCUGGCGUAAUGGUCGCAAACGACCCGUCUUGAAACACGGACCAAGACUCU
rnacentral:rRNA from 1 species